rnacentral:rRNA from 1 species
AUUGAACGCUGGCGGCAGGCUUAACACAUGCAAGUCGAGCGGAGAUGAGGUGCUUGCACCUUAUCUUAGCGGCGGACGGGUGAGUAAUGCUUAGGAAUCUGCCUAUUAGUGGAGGACAACAUCUCGAAAGGGAUACUAAUACCGCAUACGUCCUACGGGAGAAAGCAGGGGAUCUUCGGACCUUGCGCUAAUAGAUGAGCCUAAGUCGGAUUAGCUAGUUGGUGGGGUAAAGGCCUACCAAGGCGACGAUCUGUAGCGGGUCUGAGAGGAUGAUCCGCCACACUGGGACUGAGACACGGCCCAGACUCCUACGGGAGGCAGCAGUGGGGAAUAUUGGACAAUGGGCGCAAGCCUGAUCCAGCCAUGCCGCGUGUGUGAAGAAGGCCUUAUGGUUGUAAAGCACUUUAAGCGAGGAGGAGGCUACUCUAGUUAAUACCUAGGGAUAGUGGACGUUACUCGCAGAAUAAGCACCGGCUAACUCUGUGCCAGCAGCCGCCGUAAUAC